rnacentral:rRNA from 1 species
UACGGGGGGGGCAAGCGUUGUUCGGAAUUACUGGGCGUAAAGGGCGCGUAGGCGGCCUUCUAAGUCGGACGUGAAAUCCCUCGGCUUAACCGAGGAACUGCGUCCGAUACUGAAAGGCUUGAAUCCGGGAGAGGGAUGUGGAAUUCCAGGUGUAGCGGUGAAAUGCGCAGAUAUCAGGAGGAACACCGAUGGCGAAGGCAGGUCUCUGGGCCGAUACUGACGCUGAGGAGCGAAAGCGUGGGGAGCAAACAGG